ACGACAUUGUCGGGCGAAGUGAACGGUAUGACGUAUAGAUGUAAACAACAAAACAAUUGCACCAGUGAAUUAGCGUUUGCAUCAAGUUCUUUGAGUAAAAUUAAACAAGUGGAAAAAGUAUUUAUAUCGGAGUUAAAAGAGUAGAUAGAUAUUUAGAAUUUGUGAGUAAAUAUUGUAGUGUAGUGCUACGUAGUAAGUGGAAAAUUACUGAAUUCGAGGUAUGUAAUCUGAAAGAGAAAUGGAAACGGACAUAACCUGUGAUGUACUUACCUUUAGAUCAAUCUGGAAUCGUCCAUCCAGGAUUAAACGAACCUGUAAAAAGAACAGAAGAAAACUGAAAUGUAAGAUUAGAAUACUUACCUGAAUUUGUAACUAAUUGAAAUAAUAAAUUACAGCUUUGAAGCUGCUAAGUCAGCUGCUACGAAGACGGUGUUUGUUCUCACGAAAAAGAACAUUUUCUUCAAAGAUUUCAUCCGAAGUUGGAUGAUUUUCUGCCAGUUGGAGAUUGUUGUUGCGGUUAUCUGCCCUGGAAGAGGGACAUUUUGAAGAAGACCUAUAGUUGAAGAGCCAACCCGAGCCAAAGCGAGUCCAGAGUGUGACAGGAAACACGAACCGGAGUAGGAAAGCAGCAAAUAAAGUCAGUGCACUUAGCUUAAGUUUGUCACUUCCACCGGUCGCGAGAUUCGCUGCUGCUAGCUAAAUCAAAAGUAGUAGAUAGCAGAGUAGUUUAAUACAGUUAGGGUCUAUUAGAUUGAUCUCGAUAUGUCGGACGAGAAUAAAAUAACGGGAAAUGAUACAGUCCCGGGAAAUCAGGAGAAGUAUUGUAAGAAAUGCGAUCGUCCAGAUUUGCAGGAAGGCAUGGUGUGUUGUGAUGCUUGUGAGUCGUGGGUUCACUUUAACUGCGCAGGUGUUGGCGAAUCCAUUGCGGAGCCGGAUAAGAGUUGGAAGUGCAGCGAUUGUCUGGCAGACUGUGAGGGUGCAGCGAAGUCUGAUGUAUCGUUUAAUGAGUCGUCUGUCAGCAAAAGCAGUCGAGUAUCGCAGAGAUUGCAGCUCAGCCUACAACUGCUUGAGGAUCAACGGAAACUGAAGCAGAAGCGCGCGGAUGAAGAAGAAAGGAUCCGUAAACUGGAAGAAGAAGCCAAGUUAAAGCAGCUGGACGAAGAGCAGGAAUACUUGAAGCAGAGGUAUGCAUUAUUGAUGCGUAUAGAAGAUGAAAAGGAUUCGUCAAGCAGAAGAAGCGGAGUAAGUGUGAAGAAUAGGUGUGAGCGGAUGGAGAAAUGGCUUAGUAAGGAAGCCAAAGUAGGCGGAGCUGAGCAGCUAAAAUCGUCAACGCCCGGAGAAAAGGUUACUCUGCCGGUUCCAAACAUCAGCCAAACAAAUCCCAGAGUCACACAAUCGAUGACUGUUUCGUCGAAGGUAGGAUCUUCUAGCAGCCCUACUCCAUUGAAUCAGGGUAUGCUGUACCCGGAUCCGACUAUUCCUGUUCCUGGUGGCAGCGUCACAGCUCUAGCAAAAUCCUACGAAUCCUUGGUAGUGCCAACGGUACCUGGAAUAAAAUCCUAUCUUCCUUUGAGUUCAACGGAUCCAGUAACAGUUGCGAUAACAGCGAGUGGAGAAUUAUUUACGUCUGGAAAAAUUACGCCAACAGUUACAGCUUCGAUAGUGCCAGUCGUACCACAGAUUCCAAAUGUUUCUUGGGCGGGAAUCCUAAAUCCUCCUAUCAGUCUGGGAACUGCACCGGUUUACGCGUACCCUGCAAUGAAUACUAUGGUUUCUAGUGCAACUGGGCUGGUUCCGUCAAUUCAGUGUGGUUAUAGUGGUGUAUAUGGAAAUCCGCAGCAGUACUUGGAUCGAAGCACUGCUAGUUCAAUGCCGUAUCUGUCGUUUCCCUCGGUCUCUAAUGGGGCUCCACCCGGGUAUCCACCAUUGAUCUCUGCUACUGUUAGUUCGUUUCCAGGAAUUCCAAGCAAUCCGAAUGUUCUCCCCCCAAUUUCUGCUUCGUAUCCAGUAACAAGGCCGGUGAUGAUGCCUUCAGUGUUGCCAACGAUGCCGGAAACAGACGUGAAUAGGUUCAAUUCUUCCAUCGUUUCGGUAGGACCAACUAGUGCCCAAUUGGCAGCCCGGCAAGUAAUGCCGCGGGAGUUGCCGAAGUUCAGCGGGGAUCCCGAGGAGUGGCCUAUGUUCUAUAGUUCGUUCAAGAACACGACGGAGGUUUGUGGAUAUACGGAUGCCGAGAAUCUAGCUAGGCUGCAGCGUUGCUUGGGAGGUUCAGCAUUGGAGGCAGUUAAGAGUCGUCUGCUCCUACCGGCAUCUGUUCCAUAUGUUAUGGAAACGCUGCGUAAGCUCUAUGGUAGGCCAGAAACAUUGAUUAGUUCUCUUCUGAAGAAGGUCAGGAACGUUCCGUCACCAAAGUCGGACAACUUGAACACUAUUGUCACGUACGGUCUAGUAAUUCAAAAUCUCGUGGAUCACAUUAUUUUGACCGACCAACAAGCGCAUUUAUGCAAUCCGAUGCUGCUCCAGGAGUUGAUCGACAAGCUACCCACUUCGCUUAAACUGCAAUGGGGGACCUACAAGCAAUCGUUCGGGAACGUCAACCUGGAGACAUUCAACAAUUUCAUGUCAGGGCUGGUGAAUCUGGCCUCCGAUCUGAGCAUCGGGGUCGACUCGGCACAAAACUACCACAAGCAACCUAGAGGGGAUAGGACGAAGCCGAAGGAGAAGUUAUUCACUCAUGCCAAUGAGUCACCAGUGGUGCCAAAGAAGGUGGAUGAAGGCAAAGAAGGCAUUUCGAAAGCGUGUUCCUAUUGCGAUAAAGACGGUCACCAGAUCGCCAACUGUUACAGUUACCGGUCAUUAGACGUCGAAGGCCGCUGGAAGGCAAUGAGGCAGAAGAAUCUGUGCAGACUGUGCUUGAUACCGCAUCGUAAAUGGCCAUGCCGGUCAAAAAAGGAAUGCGGAGUGGACGGUUGCCGUAUUCGACACCAUAUGCUGCUUCACAGUAAUCGCAACGGUGCUGCCGACGGUACCAAAUCUACCGAAACUGUUCACCAGUAUCAUCAUCACAUGAAAUCCUUUUCCCUGUUCCGUUAUCUGCCAGUCACGCUCUAUGGAAACGGAACACAAGUCGAAACAUUUGUAUUUUUGGAUGAUGGAUCGUCUUCAACGUUACUAGAAGAAGGAAUCGCAUCACUGUUGGGUAUCGAAGGUGAACCAGACAACCUGUUGUUGAGCUGGACAGGAAAGAUCAGUCGGCAUGAGAAGACAUCCAGGCGGUUAAGUGUGAACGUAUCCGGGGCUGGUAAGAAGGAAAUGUUCCAGUUAGGUAAUGUGCGAACGGUUCGGGAGCUGGGACUCCCAAGUCAAACGUUGGAUUACGUGGAGCUUUGUAGUACGUUCCCGCAUCUGCGAGGACUUCCAGUGGCCAGUUAUAUCGAUGCCAGGCCAGGCAUGAUUAUAGGUCUAGAGCACGUUCAGCUUCUCACAAGCUUGAAGACUCGUGAAGGUACCGGCAGUGAACCAGUCGCAACAAAAACUCGAUUAGGAUGGUGCGUGUAUGGAAGGAACUCGGGAAACGAAGGGUCCUUCGAACAACUGCAUGUCCACGCUUGCAGUGAGAUGAGCAAUUGCGACCUUCAUGACUCUAUGCGAAAGUUUUUCGCAGUGGAGGAGGCUGUAGUGACGAAGCAACUAGAAGCCGAAGAGGACAAGCGGGCACGCAGUAUUCUAGAAGCAACAACGGUGAGACGAGGAGCUCGUAUGGAGACGGGUUUACUCUGGCGGCAUGACGAUGUAAAAUUUCCGGAUAGUUUUCCAAUGGCAAUGAGUAGGUUGAAGGGCUUGGAGAAACGAUUGGCCAAGGAUCCUGAGCUGCGUAGAAGAGUCAACGAACAAAUCAAUAGUUACGAACAGAAGCAGUACGUGCGCAAAGUGCCACCAGAAGUACUAAGAAACAUCAGUCGACAGCGAAUGUGGUAUCUUCCGUUAGGUGUCGUAACGAAUCCCAAGAAACCGAACAAGAUCAGAAUGGUGUGGGAUGCUGCUGCGAAGGCUGGCGGAGUGUCGUUUAAUGACAUGCUACUGAAGGGUCCGGAUCUCCUCGUAUCUUUGGUGGAAGUCUUGUUACGAUUCCGGGAAGGGAAGAUUGCGGUGUGCUCUGACAUUCGCGAAAUGUUCCUGAGGAUCCUCAUUCGAGAGGAAGAUAAAUGGUCACAGUGCUUUCUAUGGAGAGACAGUCCAGACGCUGAAAUCCAGGUUUACGUGAUCAACGUUGCGAUGUUUGGUGCAACCAGUUCGCCGUGUACGGCGCAGUUUGUUAAGAACAGAAAUGCCUCCGACUACCUGGAAUUAUAUCCUCGAGCAGUAGAGGCGAUCAUCAAAAACCACUACGUGGAUGAUUUUCUAGAUAGUGUCAAUUCGGUGGAAGAAGCUGUGCAGCUUGUCAAACAAGUGCAGUUGGUCCAUGCAGCCGCAGGCUUCGAGUUUGGAAAAAUUUCAUCCAAUUCGCAGGAGGUGCUUGAUCUUCUAGGGGAGACUGGAUCGCCAACCAACAAGUUGCUCAACCUAGAAAAGGAUAGAGUCUAUGAGCGUAUCUUAGGAGUUGUGUGGGUUCCUGCAGUGGAUCACUUCACCUUCGAACAGACAGGGUUGGAUGGAAUCAUGGGUGAAAAUAGAGCAGUUCCAACAAAGAGACAAGUUCUACGUACCGUGAUGAAAUUGUACGAUCCAUUAGGCUUCGUGGCACACUUUGUGGUGCAGGGCAAAAUACUUAUGCAGGAGAUCUGGCGAACGGGUACCAACUGGGACGAGCCCAUUGCACAACAACUACAUGAUCUAUGGAGUAGAUGGAUUGCACUGUAUGCGGCUAUCAACGAAGUGAAAAUUCCUCGUUGCUUCUUCGGAAAUCUUCGACCACAGGAGGUUGACGAAAUUGAAAUCCACGUCUUCACGGAUGCAAGCGUAGUGGCAUGUGCGUGCGUAGCUUAUCUUAGAAUAUCGUCCACCAGGGGGAACUUGUGUUCGUUGGUAGCAGCAAAAACAAAGGUGUCACCACUUCGAACGCUCUCAAUACCUCGUUUGGAGCUUCAAGCUGCCAUGAUGGGAUCACGUUUGUUGCAAAAUGUUUGUUCAGCACUCACCCUUGAUAUUCGGAAGCGCUUUCUGUGGACGAACUCGGCAACAGUUCUGGCAUGGCUUCGCUCGGAUAGUCGCCGAUAUCACCAGUUUGUUUCAUUUCGGGUAGGGGAGAUUCUUUCGCUCACCAGCGUGGAUGAAUGGUACUAUGUACCAUCGAAGUACAACGUGGCAGACGAUGCCACUAAGUGGAAUUCGGGACCAUCGUUUGAUCCAGGAAGCCGUUGGUUCGAAGGUCCACAAUUUUUACGAGAACCGAAAGAAAUGUGGCCUAGGCAGUCAGUAGUUGUGAAUGGAGCGGAUGCAGCAAGCGAAGAACUUCGAGUGGUAGCGGUACACCAAACAACUGAAGAAAUCAUCAACGUCGAACGCUUUUCAAAGUGGAAUCGCUUAGUCCGAACUUUGGCUUAUGUUUACCUGGCCGUGAGAAUCUGGAGAAGAACCCUCGGCGAAAGAGAUGCACGGCACGUUCUGAAUCAGGAUGAUUUUGUGAAGGCAAAAGACACGCUUUGGCGCCAGGCACAGGCACAGGGUUAUUCGGAGGAGUUUCAUAGGCUGAAAAGCGAACGCGGCAUUGAAAAGGGAAGUCCGUUGCAGUCGUUGGCUCCAUUUUUGGAUGAACGCGGAGUCAUUCGGGUAGGAGGUCGAAUCGGGAACGCCCCGACCAUCCCCUUCGCAGUGAAAUAUCCCAUAGUACUACCUAGAGAACAUCGUAUCACCUUGCUUUUGGGUCAUUCUUUCCACGAACGGUUCCUGCAUGCCAACGGGGAAGCAGUCUGCAAUGAAAUAAGACAGAAGUUUUAUAUACCAAAACUUCGAGUUCUCGUACGGAAAGUCAGCCGAAGUUGUCAGCACUGCAAGGUGAAAAAAGCGACUCCCGUUCCUCCGCUGAUGGGCCCGCUACCGAAGGUACGUCUAACACCAUUCAUCCGACCGUUUACUUACGUUGGUGUUGAUUACAUGGGUCCGUUCGAAGUCAAAGUCGGCCGCAGUGUUGUGAAAAGGUGGAUUUGCUUAUUCACCUGCCUCACAAUACGGGCUAUUCAUCUGGAGUUGGCCCACAGUCUCUCAUCAAACGCGUGCGUGAUGGCUUUCCGGAGAUUUGUUGCCAGACGUGGUGCUCCACUAGAAGUGUUCUCCGACAAUGGCACGAAUUUUGUGGGAGCCAAUCGUCAGUUGUCAGAGGAGAAGCAGAAAAUACAAAACAUCGUUGAGGACUGUGCCGCCACAUUCACCAACGCGAAUACCCAGUGGCACUUCAACGUUCCAGCAGCUCCACACAUGGGAGGACCGUGGGAGCGUAUGGUCAAGUCCGUGAAAGUGGCGAUGAAAGCAAUAUCGGGAAGUCCACGACAUCCAAGUGAUGAGGUGUUGGAAACGAUAAUGUUGGAGGCUGAAGCGAUUAUUAACUCGCGACCGUUGACCUACGUUCCCCUGGAUAUGGAAGACGAUGAGGCACUCACGCCAAAUCACUUUUUGCUGUGUGGAUCAACCGGCAUCAAGCAACCAGUCGCCAAUCCUGUGAGUGGAAACAUCCUUCGUGACAGCUGGAAGCUGGCGCAGCAUAUUGUGGAUGACUUUUGGCGUAGAUGGGUACGGGAGUAUCUCCCAAUGUUGACACGACGCACGAAGUGGUUCGAAGCCGUGAAGCCGAUGAAACCUGGCGAUCUGGUCGUGAUAGUCGACGAAAACACGAGGAAUAGCUGGGAGCGAGGACGCGUACUGGAAACCUUUCCAGACAAAUCUGGGCAGGUGAGACGGGCUACCGUUCAGACAGCUAGAGGAGUCUUCGCCAGACCUGCGGUUAAAUUAGCGGUUUUAGAUGUAGAAGGUAACGACAAGAAGUCGGACGUAUAUGAUUCGGGAACGGAAAUGGUUCACGGGGCGGGGGAUGUCGCCGAUACCCCUCGUUGCGGCGAAAAGGUGGUGAACCGAUUAGCCGAACCCUCACGAGCGAAACGACAUUGUCGGGCGAAGUGAACGGUAUGACGUAUAGAUGUAAACAACAAAACAAUUGCACCAGUGAAUUAGCGUUUGCAUCAAGUUCUUUGAGUAAAAUUAAACAAGUGGAAAAAGUAUUUAUAUCGGAGUUAAAAGAGUAGAUAGAUAUUUAGAAUUUGUGAGUAAAUAUUGUAGUGUAGUGCUACGUAGUAAGUGGAAAAUUACUGAAUUCGAGGUAUGUAAUCUGAAAGAGAAAUGGAAACGGACAUAACCUGUGAUGUACUUACCUUUAGAUCAAUCUGGAAUCGUCCAUCCAGGAUUAAACGAACCUGUAAAAAGAACAGAAGAAAACUGAAAUCUUUGAAGCUGCUAAGUCAGCUGCUACGAA